UGCGUAGGCGGCGGGGAAAGUCAGAUGUGAAAUCCGGAGGCUCAACCUCCGAAUUGCAUCCGAUACUCCCUCGCUAGAGAUUUGUAGAGGAGCUUGGAAUUCUCGGUGUAGCAGUGAAAUGCGUAGAUAUCGAGAAGAACGCUCGCAGCGAAGGCGAAGCUCUGGGCAAAUUCUGACGCUGAUGCACGAAGGCUAGGGGAGCAAACG
rnacentral:rRNA from 1 species